UCUAGAGAUAGAGCUUUCCCCUUCGGGGGACAAAGUGACAGGUGGUGCAUGGUUGUCGUCAGCUCGUGUCGUGAGAUGUUGGGCUAAGUCCCGCAACGAGCGCAACCCUUAAGCUUAGUUGCCAUCAUUAAGUUGGGCACUCUAGGUUGACUGCCGGUGACAAACCGGAGGAAGGUGGGGAUGACGUCAAAUCAUCAUGCCCCUUAUGAUUUGGGCUACACACGUGCUACAAUGGACAAUACAAAGGGCAGCUAAACCGCGAGGUCAUGCAAAUCCCAUAAAGUUGUUCUCAGUUCGGAUUGUAGUCUGCAACUCGACUACAUGAAGCUGGAAUCGCUAGUAAUCGUAGAUCAGCAUGCUACGGUGAAUACGUUCCCGGGUCUUGUACACACCGCCCGUCACACCACGAGAGUUUGUAACACCCGAAGCCGGUGGAGUAACCAUUUAUGGAGCUAGCCGUCGAAGGUGGGACAAAUGAUUGGGGUGAAGUCGUAACAAGGUAGCCGUAUCGGAAGG
rnacentral:rRNA from 1 species